GUGUCAGCAGCCGCGGUAAUACGAAGGGAGCUAGCGUUGUUCGGAAUUACUGGGCGUAAAGGGCGCGUAGGCGGGUUUCCAAGUCGGGGGUGAAAUUCCAGGGCUCAACCCUGGGACGGCCUUCGAUACUGGGAGCCUGGAGAUCGGGAGAGGUGAGUGGAAUUCCGAGUGUAGAGGUGAAAUUCGUAGAUAUUCGGAGGAACACCAGAAGCGAAGGCGGCUCACUGGCCCGAGACUGACGCUGAGGCGCGAAAGCGUGGGGAGCAAACAGGAUUAGAUACCCCCGUAGUCC
rnacentral:rRNA from 1 species